GGGGAUGUAGCUCAAUUGGUAGAGCGCUAAUCUAUGUUGGAUAGAGGCACGAGUAUCGAUACUUUGCAUCUCCA
rfam:Triticum aestivum genome assembly, contig: Triticum_aestivum_CS42_TGACv1_scaffold_094938_2AL